GAUGAACGCUAGCGGCAGGCUUAACACAUGCAAGUCGAGGGGCAUCACGGGUAGCAAUACCUGGUGGCGACCGGCGCAAGGGUGCGUAACGCGUGAGCAACACGCCCUAUACAGGGGGAUAAUCCAGGGAAACUUGGUCUAAUAUCCCAUAGCAUUUAGAGGUGGCAUCACCAUUAAAUUAAAGCUUCGGUGGUAUAGGAUUGGCUCGCGUGACAUUAGCUAGAUGGUGGGGUAACGGCUCACCAUGGCUAUGAUGUCUAGGGGUUCUGAGAGGAAGACCCCCCACACUGGGACUGAGACACGGCCCAGACUCCUACGGGAGGCAGCAGUGAGGAAUAUUGGACAAUGGAUGGAAAUCUGAUCCAGCCAUGCCGCGUGCAGGAAGACGGCCCUAUGGGUUGUAAACUGCUUUUAUAUGGGAGCAAUAAGGUCUACGAGUAGGCCGAUGAGAGUACCAUAUGAAUAAGCAUCGGCUAA
rnacentral:rRNA from 1 species